rnacentral:lncRNA from 1 species
UCAAUCGUAAGGUUCAUGGCGGCCGGCCACCUGCUGGCUGACUAGCCACCUUAAUUUAGCAACCAAAUUAUUUUCAUUUAAAAAAAAAUAAAAAAACGAAGAAGAAAUUUGUGGAGAGUUCUAAAAAUUGAACGUAUAUGCAAAACGACUGGUAGAUAUUAAACGUGAGGUUUCUCCCAUUCAUAUUUAUCACCUAUAUCCAAAGUAAUUGCUUGAUAUCAGCUCAACACAAAGGACACGCCAUUUGCAUUAUUUAUUAAUUUGUUUUGGAUCUAGAAAUAGACAUUGACAUUCCCCUUCCUCCUAUAAUUGAACUAAGAGUGGGAGAUAUUAUCAUGUUAUUAUUGUAUAUAUAUGCAUGAUCGAACCAACUGGUGUUUGAAAGACCCAUUUUGGUGGAGGAUCAUGGCAUGGGGAACUUGUGGCUGCUUUGCCUUGGUUCACUAAGGUUGAGCCAGUUCAGCUUAUAAUUAUUGGCAUGGAGAUUAUGACAAGCACAUCAUAUUAUUGGCAUAUGUGGUGGGGUAAACCCACCAUAAAGACGAUUCAAUUUUAGGAGGUCUGGUCUAGCUUACAUCAAACUGGGGUCCUAAAUCAGGUGCUCUUUUCGUUUUAGUUUCUUCUUAUCUUCCUUCCUUCACCUUUCUUUUUGGAUUCGCUCUUUGCCUAAUUUUAAACUAAUUUGUUGCUAAUUAUUAUAGAUGUGCCCUUUCAAUUUUUCUUUUUUAAUAGAUUUUAUUGUUACUAGCUAUAUAAAGUUAAGAUUACUAAAUCAAUUUUAAGUACAACUAACCCUUAUGCUAUUAUUAUUUUAUUUCUGAAAAGCAAACCUAAUAAUUUAAAGUUAAUAUUUGCAAUUUUGCAUGUGCUUUUAGGUGUUUUUUAGUUCACUCAAUCUUAUAUUUUUAUUUCAUGUGAUUAAUUUAAAGUAAUAUUAUUAAAAAUAAUUUGAACAUAUUAACUAUUUUUAAAUUACAACAAUAAAAAAAAAUUCAAACCGUAAUUAAAUCUCAAUCAAAAUAAUACAAUCAACACUAUCUGUAAUAGCUAAAUUUGUUGUAAAAUUGAUUUUUUUAAUGUGUUAUUUUUACCCUCCAUAAUAGCUUGGAGAAGACAUAGUUGGGAGAGGCAGUCAUGAAUCCUGAACAAGAUCAUAAAAUGGACAUGAAAAAUAUAAAAAUAUAUAUAUAUUUCUAUUCCUAAGUAAAAAAAUAGUUCAGAUAUUAUUUCAAUAAAAUAAUUAAAUUUUAUAUAAAAAAUCUAUUAGUCAUAUUUUAUUAAAUGAAUUACAUUUGUAAAUUUUAUUAAAAAUAUGAAUUAAACUCACUAAUUAAUAUUAUUAAUAUUGUUAAAAAAUAAAGAGAGAUGGAGAAAAUAAAGAACAAAAAAAUAUGAAAGUAAUAGAGAAGGUACUUUAUUGAUCAAAAGGGGUGAUUACAAUACUUCAACGGAGUCUCUAUUUUUAAGCAUAAGAAGUAUAAAAGAAGCAGAGAUCUAAUUCUAAUAACUAUUAGGAUUUAAAGUACAUUAAAACUUUAUCUUGGUCAUGAGGGACAUCCACUUACUAAGAUAUUCAUAACACUCCCCCUUAGAUAUCCAUUGGAAAAUAAUGUGCCUUAUUAAAACCUUAUUAAGAAAAACCUUGUGGGAUAAAAACCUAAUGCAGGAAAAAGAGUACACAAUCUAUAAUACACAUAAUAUGUUGCCUCAUUAAAAGCCUUACUAGGAAAAUCCAAUGGCACAAAAUCUCGAUUAAGAGAAAAAGAGUGCAACAUGUAUUUACUCUUCUUCAUGAAAGCGUCACAUAUUUUCUCAUAUUCUACGUAUUCAAUCUUGACUACUAGUUUUUCAAAUGACUAUUUGAAUGUAUUUGCUAAGCAUUUAUAUUGCCAUUCUUUUAAAAGUCAUGAGUGAGGGAAAUUUGGGAAAAUAUAUUUUGAUCUCUUCAGGAGAUUCAACAAUAAUCAUAACAAACUUUACUCAUGAUUCUUUUAUAAAAACACAAAUAGGUAUUUUAGAUAAUUUUAUAAUCCUCCUUCAACUACUAUUCACUAAGUCAAAUUUACCACUUGUAGCGACGUAAAAAUUAAUUUUAGUUUCGCUUGGUCGCUAAUUGUGGCGAUUUAUUAAACAUUUGAAAACCAACUUUCGAUUUUAUUAACAAAGGGAGUCGCCACCGAUCCUUUUUUAUAGGUGUGAUCGGACACCUAAUUAUUUUAAAACAAAAAGAAUGCCAAAUUUAGGUCUACGUGAAAGUCCAGAGAAAAAUUGGGGUUCGGGAGUCAGUUACGCACGAGGAAGGUAUUAGCACCCUCGCGACGCCCAAAAUUGGUAUCUCAUAAACAUGUGUUGACUUGAUUUUCAAAAAUACGAGUUCAAUAUAAUAUUUAAUCGUGAUCUGAUUGAAAAAUGAGAAUUUUUAGUUUUCGAUUUUUUUUUAGAAAGGGUGUCCUGUUUUUUAACACAAGCCGACGAAUUUCACCCAACAUAGCGAUGAAAUCGAUGGCUUAAUAUUAAAUCGGUACAUUGCCUUAUUUUUGAAAUUAAUUAAAAUAUGAGAAAAAAAUAUUCCUAAAGUGAGAAAUUAAAAAUAGAUGAAGGACGCAAAAAAAAUGAUAUCAUUAAUGAAAAUAUUAACAUGGAAUACUAGAAUAUUAGAAUAACAAUAAUAAUGAUAUUUACAAAAAAUAAAAAUAAAAACAAAUCAUGUACUAAUAAUAAAUAGGAAAAAUGAUAUAUUUGGUAAUAAUAAUAUAAAAUAAUAAUAUGUACAAAAAAUAUACAUAUAUAUAGGCAUAUAAUAAAAGUAUGUAAUAAUAAUAUCUACAAUAAAAGAAAAUAUUAGGAAACGUACAUAAAAAAUAUAUACAUAAUAUAAAUAUAAUAUAUACAAUAUACACAUAUGAUAAAAAAAACUAUUAAUAUGUACAUGUAUAUCUAUAUACACAUUAAGUAAAAGUACUAAUGCUAACAAUAUUAAUAAUAAAUAUAAUAAUAGACAUAUAUGCAUAUAAUAGUAAGAAACGAAACAUAAAGAAUAUAUAUAUAGCUAAAUAUAAUAUAAUAAUAACAAUAUAUAAAAAUAAUAGUGAUAACAAUAUUACAUAUAUAACAUGAUUAAUAUUUAAAGCUGAAUUAAAUAGAAAAAUAAUAUGAAAUCCAAGGUAAAUACGAAAAAUAAAUGAAAAAGGACCAAAAUUGGAUUAAAAUCAAAACUUUGGGGCUAAUUUUUUUAAAAAAUAUAAAGGAGAAAGGACCUAUUAGAACGCGCAUAAAACUGUGGGGGACCAAAAACACAAUUAAUCCUCCCCUCAAAACAUAACAUAGCAAGAGGGACUAAAUCGCAAAGCGCUACAUACUUUAAGGCCAAUUUUUGACAAAAAAAAUCAUUUUGAAGAGAGAAAGAAAAAAAAGAAGGGAGAAAGAAGAGAGAAGGGAGGGGGGAAAGGAAAUCCGGCCAAGGGGGCCGGUCACCGGCCAAGGGGGCCGGUCACCGGCCAAUCGUCGGCCGCCGCCCGUCGCCGGCCACCGCUGGCCACCGCCCACGAUGGCCGAAAAAGGUAAAAUUUUUUUUUCUUAACAAUAUAUGUAUAUAUAAAGAAAGAAAAAAAACAACACAAAAAAAGAAAGAAAAAAUAUUCGAAAGAAGAGGAAAAAAAGAAAAAAUGCAAACUUUUUAUUGAUGUUUCUUUUGUGUUCAAAAUUUGAAGGGAUUUUUGUGUUUGUCUCCUUUUUCAAUCUUUGUAAAAUCUCCCCCUUUACAUGAUUUUUGAAUGGCUUUUUAUAGCCAUCUUUUACAUGAUUUUCUAUUAUUUCUUUUUCUAUUUUGUAGGUGAUGGUGGUAGACAAUGGAUAUCAAAAAUGGGAGGAAAAAUGGGGCAAGUGGGAAAGUGGCUAGGUGGCUAGGGUUUCUUGGUUUUUUUGGGGGGGUUAGGUUUUUUUUUGGGGGUUAGGUUUUUUUUGGGGGGGGCUUAAUGGGCUUUUGAAUUGGGUUUAAUAUUUGGGUUUUGUAAUGGGUUUGGGUAGAUGUAAAUGGAUCAUGGGUUAAGAGUUUUAGUGGGUUUAUAGGUUUGGUUAGGUUUUGAUGUAAUCGG